GUCUUUUUUUUGUUUUUCUCCCUCCCUGUAUGUCAGUUCAUCCUUUGUUUGUUGUUGCCCUUUUUAUCCUCACUUAAAAAUGGCAUCCAAGCAACUGAAUGAAUGGCUAGAGAUAGGGAAUGCCCUCGCAGAUGAGUUGGCAAAUAAGAUACCAAAGAAACCAAAGAAACCAAAGAUACAGAAGAUACCAAAGAAAAUAACGCAAGGAUCAAAUGUUUCCUGGAGGAAGAGGGACCUGGAUGGGAACAUUAUAGCCCAACAUUGGAAUAAGAAUCGAUCUGUUAAACCUUCCAGCUCUCAGGAGUCCCCAGAGGUCGAGGAGACACAUGAGAUUCCUCUACAGGUCCCAAGUCUUGGUAUGCACAAUGAAUUCUUAAAUUAUCCUUCAACUUGAAAUGUAGGUCAUUGUUUGUAGUAUGUAAUAGCUUUGUUCAUGAUACAUUGUAAAGUGAAAAGCCAUGUAUGGAAUAUCU